UACAGAGGUGGCAAGCGUUGUUCGGAAUUACUGGGCGUAAAGGGCGAGUAGGUGGCCAUCUAAGUCAGACGUGAAAUCCCCCGGCUUAACCUGGGAACUGCGUCUGAUACUGGACGGCUAGAGUUUGGGAGAGGGAUGCAGAAUUCCAGGUGUAGCGGUGAAAUGCGUAGAUAUCGUAAGGAAGACCAGUGGCGAAGGCGGGUCUCUGGACAGUUCCUGACGCUGAGGCACGAAGGUCAGGGGAGCAAACGGG
rnacentral:rRNA from 1 species